rnacentral:rRNA from 1 species
GACGAACGCUGGCGGCGUGCCUAAUACAUGCAAGUUGAGCGCUGAAGGUUGGUACUUGUACCAACUGGAUGAGCAGCGAACGGGUGAGUAACGCGUGGGGAAUCUGCCUUUGAGCGGGGGACAACAUUUGGAAACGAAUGCUAAUACCGCAUAAAAACUUUAAACACAAGUUUUAAGUUUGAAAGAUGCAAUUGCAUCACUCAAAGAUGAUCCCGCGUUGUAUUAGCUAGUUGGUGAGGUAAAGGCUCACCAAGGCGAUGAUACAUAGCCGACCUGAGAGGGUGAUCGGCCACAUUGGGACUGAGACACGGCCCAAACUCCUACGGGAGGCAGCAGUAGGGAAUCUUCGGAAAUGGACGAAAGUCUGACCGAGCAACGCCGCGUGAGUGAAGAAGGUUUUCGGAUCGUAAAACUCUGUUGGUAGAGAAGAACGUUGGUGAGAGUGGAAAGCUCAUCAAGUGACGGUAACUACCCAGAAAGGGACGGCUAACUACGU